UACAGAGGUGGCAAGCGUUGUUCGGAUUCAUUGGGCGUAAAGGGUGCGUAGGUGGCGCCGUAAGUCGGGUGUGAAAUUUCGGAGCUUAACUCCGAAACUGCAUUCGAUACUGCGGUGCUUGAGGACUGGAGAGGAGACUGGAAUUCAUGGUGUAGCAGUGAAAUGCGUAGAGAUCAUGAGGAAGACCAGUGGCGAAGGCGGGUCUCUGGACAGUUCCUGACACUGAGGCACGAAGGCCAGGGGAGCAAACGGG
rnacentral:rRNA from 1 species